rnacentral:lncRNA from 1 species
CGCCGACCCUAACCGAGAACUGAGUGCACCCACGAACUUUCUUGUGCUUUCUUUGUUCUUUAUCGAUGUAUCCUCUUCUUGUAUGACCGACUGGCCACAUAUUUUGGAUUUAAUCUUCUUCUCUUAUGCUGUUUAAUGAAUGAGCUUAGAGCUGUGUUGAACUUUUAUGCUGUUUCUUGGCUCUUUGUUUGACACUGUCUCCGACUCUGACUUCUGAGUGACCCGACCCGAUGCCAGAAGGCAGAACGUUGCUGUGAAUCGUACGGUACGGUACCGGCUGUCGGUACCCGUGCGUGCGGUGGAAUUGACAGUGGGUGACGUUGUGACGUGAGUUCCAAAUUAAACAACAUCAUCCUUCUGUCCUGGCUGUGUCAAUCACCAGCUGAGCUGAAUACUGCAACAUUUAACAUCCCCUUUAGGUACUGUACUGUAGCCGAGCCUCGCUGGCAGUAGUGAGUAUAAAUGAGUCACCCCCUAAGCAGCAGCACAGGGCAUGCUUCCUCCCCUCUGUUUGAGUGGAACUGUCCGUUGGAUGCAUGAGUCAGGGGUGCGCAAGCGGUUGUCGGCUCGCCGCCUUCACGGGUGCGUGCUGUAGUCAGGCUAACGAGGCACAGGAGACGACGGAGAUACGCAUGCAGUGACGUUUGUGGGGGAUAAAUCUGUAGAUCUGGAGUACAUAUCUCCCAGAGUCUACUCGGCUAUCGAUUUGAGGUUGGGAUAGCGAUCUCAUGUACAUGUACGUGUGCGAGUCUACCCAUGGAUGUCUGAGGAUGCUUAAGCUAUAUACAUGUGCAUGUGCAUACGGAGAGAAUGUGAUCGAAAACUACAUUCAUGCUCAGCAAAUACUUAAACUUUGAUCAACUGUAAGUUUCAACCUGGUGGAAAUAUGUGCACAUCUUAAUGUUUUAGUUCUUCUAAAGUCAUGUUCUUGUGGAAUUUACAGUAAUUCAUGUGAAAAGUAAAGGAGACAUUGCUUCAGUGUGAGUUAUUUUGGAUCAAGGAUUUUCCAGCAUAAAAAAGUGUGCAUCGAUACUUUUUGGAAUUGGAAGAGGAAUAGUGCAGGGGUGAUGCUCUCAUUGUGAUGUGUCGUGGAUAUGCAGAGGAUAAAUCCGAGUCACGUUCCACUUGCGGAUGUUCGGGCAAACAGAGGAGGAGAGAGAGCUCGGAGCAUCAAGUGUGAGAAGUGCCUUCCGUACGACCAAACACCACCGAGUGUGGCUGUGCCUCGCAUAGCUAAUGAUUCAAUCGGAGUGGGAGGAGAGGAGUCGAUGUAUGAAGAAACAUUGAGUUAUUUCUGUCUGGCCUUACGCAGGUGGCAAACAUCACAGCUCCGGUAGUUGGUGUCCUUUCUCCCAGUAAUUACUGCCAUAGAUCAUGGGCCCGGUGUUUGUGUCUGGCUAACGACCUUGCCGUUCAGGAGUAGAUCUCUCUGGGAUUAUAACUUUUAACGACUCUGUGUGUGUACCAUCCCAUUCAGAACAAUGGAACGCAUGAAUAUGCAGCAGAAUCUUUACAGCUUACAACUUCUUUCUCAAAUUUCAAUUUUACUUUCUGCAAGUCCUCAAUGCAUAACCAUAUGAGAGUUGUAUCGUAAUAAAACAAACAAUGCACUGGAGAAAAGGAAGGAAUUCAAUCUGGUUUCAAAGCAACUGAGGAGGUGAUAUUGGUAUAUAUUUAUUGGAUAUUUUAGAGUCCAGUUUCACGCCUCUCUCGUAAUCAUGUAUGCAGUACUAGAACAAAACCCGGCAGCGCGCAGUGACUGUACUAUUCUGUCGCUGUCAUGGAAAGGAACGGUCCCCGAGAGCGAGAAGGAUAAAAGCUACACUCGCAAGAGACAUUACACCAAAGGUUGGCUGGCUACUGGCAAUGUUAAAGGGGUGGUUGGAGCAACCUACACCACAAGCCACUGUGGGAAGAGUCCCCAGGCUCCAGCAAGAAGAAACUUUAACCUCCGUGGGCAUAAUAGUGAGGUGGUCUUAGUGAGAUGGAAUGAGCCGUUUCAGAAGAUGGCUACCUGCGAUGCCCAAGGGGUAAUAUUUGUCUGGAUCAAGUACGAGGGGCGAUGGUCAGUGGAACUGGUCAACGACAGGUCAUGCCAGGUACGGAAGGGCAUUUGUUCU